GAUGAAGAACGUAGUGAAAUGCGAUAAGUAAUGUGAAUUGCAGAAUUCAGUGAAUCAUCGAAUCUUUGAACGCACAUUGCGCCCGCCAGUAUUCUGGCGGGCAUGCCUGUUCGAGCGUCAUUUCAACCAUCAAGCCCUGCUUGCGUUGGGGUCCUGCGGCUGCCCGCAGGCCCUGAAAACCAGUGGCGGGCUCGCUAGUCACACCGAGCGCAGUAAUACAUCUCGCUUUGGGCGUGCGGCGGGUUCUUGCCGUUAAACACCCCCUUUUUACCAAGGUUGAACUCGGAUCAGGUAGGAAUACCCGCUGAACUUAAGCAUAUCAAUAAGCGGAGGA
rnacentral:misc_RNA from 1 species